GAACGCUGGCGGCGUGCCUAAUACAUGCAAGUCGAACGAGUUCUGAUUAUUGAAAGGUGCUUGCAUCUUGAUUUAAUUUUGAACGAGUGGCGGACGGGUGAGUAACACGUGGGUAACCUGCCCUUAAGUGGGGGAUAACAUUUGGAAACAGAUGCUAAUACCGCAUAAAUCCAAGAACCGCAUGGUUCUUGGCUGAAAGAUGGCGUAAGCUAUCGCUUUUGGAUGGACCCGCGGCGUAUUAGCUAGUUGGUGAGGUAACGGCUCACCAAGGCAAUGAUACGUAGCCGAACUGAGAGGUUGAUCGGCCACAUUGGGACUGAGACACGGCCCAAACUCCUACGGGAGGCAGCAGUAGGGAAUCUUCCACAAUGGACGCAAGUCUGAUGGAGCAACGCCGCGUGAGUGAAGAAGGCUUUCGGGUCGUAAAACUCUGUUGUUGGAGAAGAAUGGUCGGCAGAGUAACUGUUGUCGGCGUGACGGUAUCCAACCAGAAAGCCACGGCUAACUACGUGCCAGCAGCCGCGGUAAUACGUAGGUGGCAAGCGUUAUCCGGAUUUAUUGGGCGUAAAGCGAGCGCAGGCGGUUUUUUAAGUCUGAUGUGAAAGCCCUCGGCUUAACCGAAGAAGUGCAUCGGAAACUGGGAAACUUGAGUGCAGAAGAGGACAGUGGAACUCCAUGUGUAGCGGUGAAAUGCGUAGAUAUAUGGAAGAACACCAGUGGCGAAGGCGGCUGUCUGGUCUGUAACUGACGCUGAGGCUCGAAAGCAUGGGUAGCGAACAGGAUUAGAUACCCUGGUAGUCCAUGCCGUAAACGAUGAAUGCUAGGUGUUGGAGGGUUUCCGCCCUUCAGUGCCGCAGCUAACGCAUUAAGCAUUCCGCCUGGGGAGUACGACCGCAAGGUUGAAACUCAAAGGAAUUGACGGGGGCCCGCACAAGCGGUGGAGCAUGUGGUUUAAUUCGAAGCAACGCGAAGAACCUUACCAGGUCUUGACAUCUUUUGAUCACCUGAGAGAUCAGGUUUCCCCUUCGGGGGCAAAAUGACAGGUGGUGCAUGGUUGUCGUCAGUUCGUGUCGUGAGAUGUUGGGUUAAGUCCCGCAACGAGCGCAACCCUUAUGACUAGUUGCCAGCAUUUAGUUGGGCACUCUAGUAAGACUGCCGGUGACAAACCGGAGGAAGGUGGGGAUGACGUCAAAUCAUCAUGCCCCUUAUGACCUGGGCUACACACGUGCUACAAUGGAUGGUACAACGAGUUGCGAGACCGCGAGGUCAAGCUAAUCUCUUAAAGCCAUUCUUAGUUCGGACUGUAGGCUGCAACUCGCCUACACGAAGUCGGAAUCGCUAGUAAUCGCGGAUCAGCACGCCGCGGUGAAUACGUUCCCGGGCCUUGCACACACCGCCCGUCACACCAUGAGAGUUUGUAACACCCGAAGCCGGUGGCGUAACCCUUUUAGGGAGCGAGCCGUCUAAGGUGGGACAAAUGAUU
rnacentral:rRNA from 1 species